GCCGUCUUAGCUCAGUUGGUAGAGCACUCGGCUGUUAACCGAGCGGUCGCCGGUUCGAAUCCGGCAGACGGCG
rnacentral:tRNA from 1 species